rnacentral:snoRNA from 1 species
AAUGCAGGUGAUGAUAAAAUAGACAGGGACAUCAGCUACUCCUUUUUUAGGGAGGAUGAUGACAAGUCUAAAAUGGGAAUCUCUCUGAUGCAUU